AGUGAACGCUGGCGGUAGGCCUAACACAUGCAAGUCGAACGGCAGCACAGUAAGAGCUUGCUCUUACGGGUGGCGAGUGGCGGACGGGUGAGGAAUACAUCGGAAUCUACUUUUUCGUGGGGGAUAACGUAGGGAAACUUACGCUAAUACCGCAUACGACCUACGGGUGAAAGCAGGGGAUCUUCGGACCUUGCGCGAUUGAAUGAGCCGAUGUCGGAUUAGCUAGUUGGCGGGGUAAAGGCCCACCAAGGCGACGAUCCGUAGCUGGUCUGAGAGGAUGAUCAGCCACACUGGAACUGAGACACGGUCCAGACUCCUACGGGAGGCAGCAGUGGGGAAUAUUGGACAAUGGGCGCAAGCCUGAUCCAGCCAUACCACGUGGGUGAAGAAGGCCUUCGGGUUGUAAAGCCCUUUUGUUGGGAAAGAAAAGCAGCAGGUUAAGACCCCGCUGUUCUGACGGUACCCAAAGAAUAAGCACCGGCUAACUUCGU
rnacentral:rRNA from 1 species